UCGACACCAAGAAGCAAUGCUCGUGGCCACAGAGCGGACAGGCAGCAGCUCUCCCCUCUCUCUUUCCCUCCCCCUUCAAAAAUUUAAAAACACGCUUUGCAUUAGAUUUACAUAAGGUAAACGGAUAUUAGGGGCAUAAACUAGACAUGUGGUGCUCAAAUUGGAAAAAAAAUCAAGUUGUCUUUGUGUUUGUGCGUGGAGGGGGUUGGCGAGGGAGGUCAUGGGGUGUCUGCUGUAAAACGAGGUUUUGUUGUGUAAGGUGGCACAGCUCGGGAUUUUAACAUUGCACGAUCUUGACGGUCAUUUCAAGGAAGGAUGGACUAGACUGAAGCCGGACAUCGUCAAGUGUUAAGGAGGCCAGGAUCGGACAUCUGUAGCACGUUUGGGUGACUGCUUUUAAGUAUAAUUUCAAAUCGUCCUUUUAAAAAGCGGGGCGCUCCAAUCAGCGUGGCACAGUAACUGAUGCGUAAACUCUGAUCUCUCGCCAACCGCUGAACAAUGAGGAGGAAUUUGUCAAGUUUCCCGACCAAAUUGUCUACCUUUUUCUUUUAUUGUCAAAGAGGCUGACGGCCAACUUCCUUCUUACCUUAGGGUGAUCCGAGCCCGAGGCCUGUGGCCGAAAUGGACGGGGUGGGCAGCCGAUGUUUAAGGCAAGAAUUAUUUUUUUCUCAACAAAAACAGCAAAUUUUGUCCGGGGAGGGGGAGGGGAAGGGGGGCAAAGAAUCCAAGGGGAGGGGGUGGGGAGGAAGGAAAUUAAAAAGUGUCAGAAGCCCACGGUCUGAAUCAUUGAGUCGGAAAGCGAGCUGUAAUUUCUCCUCAGACAGACACACGCUCACUCGGCUGUUUAAUUCGCCUCCCGCCGCCAGCGCACGGAUCGCGCCGAGUCAGCAGCAACAGCGGCGGCGGCGGCAGCAGCCCGGGCUGCGCAUGCGUCUGUGUUGGGGGUUGGGGGGGUGGAACUGCUGGUUGCUGGGGACCGGCGCGUGCCCGACGCCAACGGAUUCGCGUUCUUUACCUGCACUCGAAACGGCGGCCGCUUCCCCGGACCACAUCAUACCACAUGCUGGUCAAAAACAAUAAAGACAACGAUUACCGCUCGGACUUCCAAGAACCACGUCCACUUGGAACUCGCAUCUCGUUCUCUUUCACUCAAGAAGAUCUGUUUUGGGAAGAAGGCACAGUUGGGGGCGCGGGUCCUGUUGAUAUGGGGAGGGCGGCAAUCGGUUCUCAAUCUAUCUUGGAAACGGUGUACGUUUAUUCGCGUUCACCGGGUCGAUCGAUCUUCUCAACACAAAGACUCAAAAGCGAGUCCGGCCUGAGUUAACUUCUUUUUUACGUCCCGCCGUGGCGAUCCUUUGCGAUUUGAGUCGACAACCGAAGAGGUGAGCGGAUUUUCACGACCUGUUUAAUCGCAGAGGUGUGCAGAUGUGGCAUGCGGUUCGCAGCCGAUCAUAAUUUGUUUACAUGUGGUCAGUGGCUUGACCCUGCGUUUCUGAAAGUGGAUGUGUCGAAAUCGUGGAGCUUGGCUUCAAAUGGGUCCGUCAACAGUGCGAAACUUAUUCUUAAUCAAAGUUGCUGGGUUCUGGUAUACACUCGGGUGAGGGAGCUCUUCAUCUGUUGCACUGAUGAAACUUUAUGAAAUUCUGAAUUUCUCCAAGAGUAUUAUUGGCUUGUUGAAAUAAUGAAUAUUAUUCCGCCUACUCCAAUGCAGGAGAAUAUAAAUAUGUAAGGGGGGGAAAAGUAUAAAACAAUUUGGAUUCUAUAAGACCGAACCAAGUACUUCUCAAAUAUUGUAACGUUAUGAUGUAACGGAAAAUAUCCCCCAAACAACAAGAGGAUAAAUGAACAUAUGAUCAAUCCCUACACUGAUAAGAGAGUUAACCAUCAGCCGGAAUAUUACAAAAAUAUCUUGAAAGAUGGUGCCAGACCUGCUGAACCACAUAACCAUGGAAUAAACAAUGCAGACAUUGGAACUGAAUAAUAAAGAAUAAUGAAGAUACUCAGUGCGGUCCCAGAAGUAGCCACUUCUUCUGAAGCCCAAAGAAACUGCCGACCUAUCAGAUUGGCUGUCAGCUCUUGAGGGCAGGAUUUUCCUUCUAGUUGGGGCCUAAAAAUGUCACAAACAACUUAAUGCUCCUUGGACUGUGUUAAAUGGUCUGGGGCAGUUCCAUGGAAUUGAGGUGCAUUCUAUUGUGGCUAUGCUGGCAGCACAAUGUGAGUGCUUGCUUUAUGAUCCUGCUUCUGAUCUCUCAGGUAGGUCAGGCCAAAGGUGCAUAAAGAUGGUGUGAGUUGGAGAUCAGCUAGCCACCUACAUUUCAAGAUGAAAGAGAGAUUCUUCGAAGAUGAGCUGUUGCACUAUUCUCCACAUCCUAAACACCAACUCAGAUGAUCCACUUUGUUUGGUAAUAAUAUACAUAGACUCGGACAAAACUUGCGAAGCUAAGUGCAGAGCAGUUGCCAGAAACUGUAACAGUUAAGAUCACAAACAAUCAACUGUGGGAGACCAGGCUGAUAAUGACCCUCAAGCUGAUGAUUGAUUUCUGGCGUCAUUGACAACUCAGUGUUGCAGCCACAGCAAAAGUUAAGGCAAAAUCUGUCAUUACUUGCAGUGGCUUUGGAACAUUGAGAGCCUUGAGUGUUGUCAUGUCCCUGGAACUACUGGGGAUUCUCACAGAGAGCCAGAUCCAGCAGAUGAAUCAGUGGAUCCAGAAGGUGCAUGCAAACUUGUUUUGUCCACAACCUUAUGCCGUAAUGGGUGAGUGAGUUACCUGGAGUCAAUAACAGGUCCUUACACUUCUCAGCUCAGCAAGGAAUGACAGCUGGUGAUAGGAGUGAAUGUUGAAGGUAGCGAAUAGGGAGCCAUUUAAGAAAGAUGCUUUCUCCUUUAUAGUGUUGAAUCUCUUGACAGGUACUCGAGCUGCAAACAUCCAGAUAAGUGGAGGAUAUUCUUUGACCUAAAAAGCAUUUUUAACUCAUUUCAGAUUACAAGAAGUUAAAUGCACAGCACAUAAUGGCUGGCAUUGAUUUUUGAUUGAAUUUUUCGAGGAGGUGAUGAAGGUGUCCAAUGAGGUUAGAGCAGUGGAUGUUGUCUUUGUGGAUUUUAGUAAAGAUUUUGACAAGGCCCAUCAUGGUAAGCUCAUUCAGAUGAUUAAGAUGCGUGGGAUCUGUGGUGACUUGGCCACUUGGAUUCAGAUUGACUUACCCAUAGAAGACAGAGGGUAGUGGUGGAAGGGUGUACUUCUGGCUGGAAGUCCACGACUAGGGUCGUUCUGCAGCGAUCUGGACUGAGACCUCUGCUGGUUAUGAUAUAUAUAUUUUAUAAAUGAGUUGGGUGAAAACAUAGAUGGGUGUGUUAGUAAGCUUUUAAACAACAUAAAUAUCGGUGGAGCUGCAGAUUAUACAGAAGGUUCUCAAAAGAUAUCUUGGGAUACAGAUCAGUUGCAGAUAUGGACAGAGAGAUGGCAGAUGGAGUUAAAUCAGGGCAAGUGUGAGGUACUGCACUUUGGGCAAUCUAAUGUUAAGGAAAAAUAUACAGUUAGUGGCAGGACCCUGAACAGCAUUUUUGUAUAUAGCGAUCUUGGGGUUCAAGUCCACCCUGAAAGUGGCUCACGUAUAAAUGGGGUUGUAAAGACGGCGUAUGACAUUGUUGCCUUUAUUGGUCAGGGCAGUGAGUACAAGAGUUAGGAUGUCAUGUUGCAGCUUUAUUAGACUUUGGUCAGGCCACACUUACAGUGUUGCAUUCAAUUUUGGUCGCCAAAUGACAGAAAGGAUGUUGAAGUUUUGGAGAGGGUGCAGAAGAAGAUUACCCAGAUGCUGCUGGAUUAGAGGGUAUGAGCCACAAGGAGAGGCUAGAGAAACUAGGGUUGUUUUCUUUGCAGCAGCAGAGGCUGAGGGGAGACUUGAUAGAUGUCAAUAAUAUUAUGAGAUGUGUAGAUAGGUUUGACAGUCAAAAUCUAUUUCCUCGGGUUGAAAUUUCUAAUACUAGGGGGCAUGCAUUUCAGGUGAGAGGUGGAAAGUUCAAAGGAGAUGUGUGGGGCAAGUUUUUUACACAGAGUGGUAGGAGUCUGGAACACGCUGCCAAGUAAGUUGAUGGAGGCAGAUAUGAUAGAGGCAUGAAAUGGUCUUUUAGAUUAGCACAUGAACAGGAAGGAAUAGAGAAAUAUGUACCAAGGGCAGGCAGGAGGUGUUAGUUUAAAUUAGCAUCAUUUUUGGCACAACAGUGUGGGCUGAAGGGCCCAUCCCUGUGCUGUUAUGGACUGUGUCCUAUGUUCUACAUGCAAAUUCGAUUCAGGUCAAGUGCAUUCUGUACUUUUCAAAUAUGUUAUUUAAUAAAUAUUUUUCAACACUGCAUGUUACAGAUAAGGCAAUUUCUAUAGCAAAGUUGAAAAUUUGAAAUUAAAUCAAAAGAUCAUUGUGGUACAUCUUUAAUUGCCGUUUGCAUUCAAACAGUUAGAGGGACAGACAUUUCGUCCACCUCAGAAAUCCCAAACAGAAGGAGAAGAGUAUUUGGAAAAUAAAUGUUUUAAAUAUUUAAGUCUGAGACAAAUUAGUUGUUUCAUAAGCUCUAUGAAUUGCUGUGAAUACAGAAGUAUAUUGAUAUGGUGCAGAAGCUAGGGCAACAUCAAGAAGAGAGGAAGAACAACUGGAUACUGAUGAGUUAUGGAAGUUGAGAUGAAUAUAUUUGGAUAUAAGAAAGAACACAUAAUAAGAAAGAACUAGCAUUCAGUGGCCAGAGAAGACUGUUGGGGCAUUGGCAAAAGUAGACAAAGUGGGAUUGAAGUGUUAUGGUCAUCUGUUGUAGGGAGAGAUUGAACAUGAGGGGAUGUAAAUUAGUGAUUGUAACAAGGUCAGCUAGCUGGAUCUCAUGGAAUAUGAGUUCCCUGAUUGGAGUUGUUAGUCUUGUCCAAUCAGGGAGCCCUGGCUGACAGAUAAGAACUGGACUUCUGACAUCCUAUUCACUGUGAGAACUGGUGCUCAGAGAGCUGGAUCAGUGUCAAGGACCCUCCCUGUUUUUAAUAAAAGGUGAAUUGAUGAUGCGAUACAGGCCUCUGUGCAGUUAUUUCAGUAAGUGAUGGAGAUGGGACCAUCUUCCACCCAGCAGAAGAGAAAAUGAGUACAAGGACUAAAAUUGUGUUACCCUGAACACAACCAACCUCAGGACAAAGGCAUGAAGGAAAAUUUGGUUUACAUGUGUCCUGGCCAUCUUUAAAAUAAGUCUUAUAGUCCAGCACCAAAUAUGUAUGCGAGUGUAACAAAGCCACUCAACUGAAUGUGAAGCAAGGAAAAUAGGAAUGCUUUAUUUACAUCUAUUUCAAUAUGGCAUUUAUCACAGUUCUAGCUGAGAGUGUGUUCUUCCUCAUCAGCAAGGCCCAAUCCAUGGGGAUAAUCAGGACUAAAUAAAAUUGGCCCAGAAUGCCAGGGAGCCUGCUGUACUUGAGUGGGGUGGAGAAGGAGGAUGUCUGGGAGCAGGAUCUUAUAGCCCAGGCCAGGAACAGCCCUGGGUCCCACAAUUUCAGGCAGUAUCCUUGCUGCUCACUGUACUGUAAACUUAGGGCCUAGGAAAGCUUUUUCAGACAAGUGAAUUUCACAUAGCUACCUAUACCAUUUCUUCCCACAUGGUCAUUGUUGCAUUUUGGCAGUUUUUUUUUCGCCACUCCCUCUAAUUCUGCUGUUGUACUUAAUUAUUCCAUCACUUACUGAGAAAUUUGAAACUCUUCCAGAUAACGUUUCAACCAUGGUCCAGAGUUAUGCCCACUUACUCAAAUUAUGUAUUUUUGUCUUCUUGCCGACCUACCUUUGUGCAAUCUGCAAAUUUAUAAAC